rnacentral:rRNA from 1 species
GACGAACGCUGGCGGCGUGCUUAACACAUGCAAGUCGAACGGUGAAGCUCCAGCUUGCUGGAGUGGAUCAGUGGCGAACGGGUGAGUAACACGUGAGCAACCUGCCCCUGACUCUGGAAUAAGCGCUGGAAACGGCGUCUAAUACUGGAUACGAGAAGGGUCCGCAUGGGCACUUUCUGGAAAGUUUUUCGGUUGGGGAUGGGCUCGCGGCCUAUCAGCUUGUUGGUGAGGUAAUGGCUCACCAAGGCGACGACGGGUAGCCGGCCUGAGAGGGCGACCGGCCACAGUGGGACUGAGAGACGGCCCAGACUCCUACGGGAGGCAGCGGUGGGGAAUAUUGCACAAUGGGCGGAAGCCUGAUGCAGCGACGCCGCGUGGGGGAUGACGGCCUUCGGGUUGUAAACCUCUUUCGGCAGGGAAGAAGCGAGAGUGACGGUACCGGGAGAAGAAGCACCGGCUAACUACGUG